rnacentral:rRNA from 1 species
GAUGAACGCUAGCGACAGGCUUAACACAUGCAAGUCGAGGGGCAGCAUGAGGUAGCAAUACCUUGAUGGCGACCGGCGCACGGGUGAGUAACGCGUAUGCAACCUGCCCGAUACCGGGGUAUAGCCCUUGGAAACGUGGAUUAACACCCCAUAGUACUUUUAUCCUGCAUGGGAUGUUAGCUAAAUGUUCAAGGUAUCGGAUGGGCAUGCGUCCUAUUAGUUAGUUGGCGGGGUAACAGCCCACCAAGACGAUGAUAGGUAGGGGUUCUGAGAGGAAGGUCCCCCACAUUGGAACUGAGACACGGUCCAAGCGCCUACGGGAGGCAGCAGUGGGGAAUAUUGGUCAAUGGACGUAAGUCUGAACCAGCCAAGUCGCGUGAGGGAAGACUGCCCUAUGGGUUGUAAACCUCUUUUAUAAGGGAAGAAUAAGUUCUACGUGUAGAAUGAUGCCUGUACCUUAUGAAUAAGCAUCGGCUAACUCCGUGCCAGCCGCCGCGGUAA